rnacentral:rRNA from 1 species
AUGAACGCUAGCUACAGGCUUAACACAUGCAAGUCGAGGGGAAACGAUAUUGGAAGCUUGCUUCCGAUAGGCGUCGACCGGCGCACGGGUGAGUAACGCGUAUCCAACCUGCCCAUCACUUGGGAAUAACCUUGCGAAAGUAAGACUAAUGCCCAAUGACAUUUAUAGAAGGCAUCCGAAAUGAAUUAAAGAUUUAUCGGUGAUGGAUGGGGAUGCGUCUGAUUAGCUUGUUGGUGAGGUAACGGCUCACCAAGGCGACGAUCAGUAGGGGUUCUGAGAGGAAGGUCCCCCACAUUGGAACUGAGACACGGUCCAAACUCCUACGGGAGGCAGCAGUGAGGAAUAUUGGUCAAUGGGCGAGAGCCUGAACCAGCCAAGUAGCGUGCAGGAUGACGGCCCUAUGGGUUGUAAACUGCUUUUAUAAGGGAAUAAAGUGGGUCACGUGUGACUUUUUGCAUGUACCUUAUGAAUAAGGACCGGCUAAUUCCGUG